GCCUCAUGUCCAUGGGGCUUUCAUCAUUAAUGUUGGAGAUAUGCUAGAGAGGUGGACUAAUGGCUUGUUCCGGUCAACAAUGCAUAGAGUGUUACCAUUACAAGAGCGCUAUUCAGUUGCAUUCUUUUUGGAUCCAAAUGCUGAUUGCGUGGUUGAGUGCCUGGAAAGUUGUUGCAGUGCGGCAUCUCCGCCAAGGUUUCCUCCAAUAAAGAGCUUCGAGUAUAUAAUGGAGCGUAUAAGGGUUUCUUACUCUAGAAAUACGCCCAAAGUUAUUGCAUGAUGGCUCUGAUAGAAAUACGCUCGAAGUUGUGUUACUAUAUUAUAUGGUGAUGUUAACCAAAUCGUUGGAAUCUGGAUGCUUGUGCUAUACCUCGUGGAAAAA
rnacentral:misc_RNA from 1 species